AUACGAAGGGGGCUAGCGUUGUUCGGAAUCACUGGGCGUAAAGCGCGCGUAGGUGGAUCAAUUAGUUGAGGGUGAAAUCCCGGGGCUCAACCUUGGAACUGCCUUCAAUACUGUUGAUCUUGAGACCGAGAGAGGUGAGUGGAAUUCCUAGUGUAGAGGUGAAAUUCGUAGAUAUUAGGAAGAACACCAGUGGCGAAGGCGGCUCACUGGCUCGGUACUGACGCUGAGGUGCGAAAGCGUGGGGAGCAAACAGGAUUAGAUACCCUAGUAGUCC
rnacentral:rRNA from 1 species